rnacentral:rRNA from 1 species
AGUAAUGUCUGGGAAACUGCCUGAUGGAGGGGGGAUAACUACUGGAAACGGUAGCUAAUACCGCAUAACGUCGCAAGACCAAAGAGGGGGACCUUCGGGCCUCUUGCCAUCGGAUGUGCCCAGAUGGGAUUAGCUAGUAGGUGGGGGUAACGGCUCACCAAGGCGACGAUCCCUAGCUGGUCUGAGAGGAUGACCAGCCACACUGGAACUGAGACACGGUCCAGACUCCUACGGGAGGCAGCAUG